AAAAAAAAGAAUAAGAUUCUACCCUUAUAAAGAGAGUAGAGAAACCAAUAACUGUCAAGGGUAUAUCUCAGGCUAGAUAUUUUGUGUGUUUAUCUAAUUUAAUGCAACAACCCUGAUAUUUUCCUUAUUUUAUAGAUGUGGAAAUAAGCCAAAGAGGUGGUUAAAAUUAGCCCAGCAUCACACCGCUAGUUCAGAGUAAAAACUGGGAAUCUAAUGUAGGCCUAAUUUCAAAUCCCACAUAUUUUUCAUGGCAUCUUGAUGUAUAUUAAUAGGGAAGAUAAUAUUUUUGCAUGUUCAAGUAUAAUACAAGGAAGAAAUAAAAGAAUAUAGGUAAAUUGCCAUAGGAAUUAAGAGGAAGAGGGAUUACUCCUAGUCAAGAGGUCGUGAGUCUUCCUUGAAGAGGUAGCAUCUGAAAUGGAGCUUGAAAGUUGGUAAUAUGUUGGCAGGUGGUAUCGGGGGCAGAAAAUUCCAGGCAGAUGGAGGAGCACAAGGACAGACUCUGGCAGGAUGAGAAUACCAUGAAUAGUUUGCAGAAGGGGCCAAGGAUGGGGUUCUGCCUGGGUGGGAAGGGCUCUUUUGUCACUGACAUUCUUAGAAUCGCCAGUGCAUGGUCAUAGUAAAAAGUAGAGUAACUCUUAAUUUUAUUAUUGAUUUUAAAUCUCCUACAGACAGUGUGCCCUCUUUAUAAUGUGUGGCCAGGACAGACCACUCCCACCGGCCCCUACUGUUCAGUAUAACACUGGUAAUUGGGUGUGUUUGGAUAAGUUCCUCUUUCUCUGCCUUUCGUGGUAGCACUGCAAGUUCCUAUGAUUCUCAGCCUGUAUUCCUCAGUGGUGUGCAGCCUACCCCAUGUUCCAGGGAGAUAGGUUCUACGAAGGACAGAGGGCUAGCCCUGGACUUCCCAUGAGUUUUGGGAAAGGGGGGUGUCACAAGUGGAACCAGGUGUCUGGCACACUUCAGGUCUGGAGUUCUCCUGACCCAGGCAUAGAAACUUUCUUCAGGAUCUGGAUGAUGCUUUAGAGUCAAUGAGCAAGGCUAGAUUGAACCAAAGGGCAUGGACCAUGGGCCUGGAGGAAUCUUCUUAGAGAUUUAUCAGUGGGUGGGGAGUUGAGAGUUUGAAGUUGAAGACUGAAAUCACUAAAGAGAAGCCCAGGUGGUUGUUGAUACCCCUCCUACCCCAACCCCCUGCCCUUUCCCCGACCACCACCCAGGGGCAAAGGAAGAUGGAGGACCUCCUGCUAAUUUUCAACUGCACUUUGCUCUCUGUUAUGUAGUAUUUCAGUGACAGGAUCCACUCAGGAGAGUUGGGGCAAAGCUGGCUGAGGUUCUCAAGGAGCUGAGUUUUGAGUUCAGGUGCCUACGUGGCAGUGGAAUGAUGCUUCCUGACCUUUCAGACCUUUGAGACCGCUGCGCGGUCUAAGACUUCACCUGGAGCCUCCUGUCCAGGAUGUGACCACCUAGGGGAAUUCCAGGGAAAGGUGGCAGAGAUAUCAUGGACUGAAAUGUGAUGGGUACCCCAAUGAGCUCACUACAAGAUCUCAAAGAUUCCAAGCCACUGGCUGCUCCCAAGCAUAAAGCCACCCUUCUGGAGAGGCGGCAGGAAGGAAGCCUGGAGGAGGCUCCACUUUUGGCCAGAGGACAGACCACCUUCUCAGGUCUCUGGGGGAACUGCUGAAGGACAGUGAGGGAGAUGUUGCUGGUCCCCAGGACAGAAACACAGCAGCUGGAACCAAGAAGCACCUGGAGUGGGACUCAAGCCCAGCACCCCUUCAUACUGAAGCUCUUUGAGCUGCAUGUGGUUCCUGAUUGGACUGUUUUUGCUUUGCCACCACCUGCAUAACACUGUUCUGGAUGCUUUUGAAUUAUUGGCUUUCUUUCCUUUUUUCCCCCCUCUGUCUUUUCUUUUUUCUUCUCUUGGCCCUGUGAAUUGUAAGAAGAAUUGCUUUAGAAAGUAUAAUUCUGUUGCUGAAAUUAGCCUUGUUUAUGAACAAAUUCUGUCCCUAAGGAUUUUCUGAAUUGCAAUCCCAGGUUACCUUGUAAAUGGGGCUGCAUGAUUUGAUUUGUGUAGUACUGAUCCUUAGAUUAAAAAUACAUUUUCUUUCUUUCUUUUCUUUCUUUCUUUCUUUCUUUCUUUCUUUCUUUC